rnacentral:ncRNA from 1 species
GAUUGCACUUUUUCUUAACAACCUCUCUGCAAUCGCGGCUG